rnacentral:rRNA from 1 species
AGCAGUGGGGAAUUUUCCGCAAUGGGCGAAAGCCUGACGGAGCAAUACCGCGUGAGGGAGGAAGGCUCUUGGGUUGUAAACCUCUUUUCUUCGGGAAGAAGCUCUGACGGUACCGAAGGAAUCAGCAUCGGCUAACUCCGUGCCAGCAGCCGCGGUAAUACGGAGGAUGCAAGCGUUAUCCGGAAUAAUUGGGCGUAAAGCGUCCGCAGGUGGCGAUUCAAGUCUGCUGUCAAAGCUCCUGGCUCAACUGGGAAGUGGCAGUGGAAACUGAAAAGCAAGAGCGCGGUAGGGGUAGAGGGAAUUCCCGGUGUAGCGGUGUAAUGCGUAGAGAUCGGGAAGAACACCAGUGGCGAAAGCGCUCUACUAGGCCUGCACUGACACUCAGGGACGAAAGCUAGGGGAGCGAAUGGGAUUAGAUACCCCAGUAGUCCUAGCCGUAAACGAUGGAUACUAGGCGUGGCUUGUAUCGACCCGAGCCGUGCCGGAGCUAACGCGUUAAGUAUCCCGCCUGGGGAGUACGCGCGCAAGCGUGAAACUCAAAGGAAUUGACGGGGGCCCGCACAAGCGGUGGAGUAUGUGGUUUAAUUCGAUGCAACGCGAAGAACCUUACCAGGGCUUGACAUGUCCGGAAUCUUAGGGAAACCUGAGAGUGCCUUCGGGAGCCGGAACACAGGUGGUGCAUGGCUGUCGUUAGCUCGUAUCGUGAGAUGUUGGGUUAAGUCCCGCAACGAGCGCAACCCUCGUGCUUAGUUGCCAGCAUGAAAGAUGGGCACUCUAAGCAGACUGCCGGUGACAAACCGGAGGAAGGUGGGGAUGACGUCAAGUCAGCAUGCCCCUUACGUCCUGGGCUACACACGUACUACAAUGCUACGGACAAAGGGCAGCAAGCGGGCGACCGCAAGCGAAUCCCGCAAAACCGUAGCUCAGUUCAGAU